UACGUAGGGUGCGAGCGUUGUCCGGAAUUAUUGGGCGUAAAGAGCUCGUAGGCGGUCUGUCGCGUCGGUCGUGAAAACUUGGGGCUUAACCCUGAGCUUGCGGUCGAUACGGGCAUGACUGGAGUUCGGCAGGGGAGACUGGAAUUCCUGGUGUAGCGGUGAAAUGCGCAGAUAUCAGGAGGAACACCGGUGGCGAAGGCGGGUCUCUGGGUCGAUACUGACGCUGAGGAGCGAAAGCGUGGGGAGCGAACAGG
rnacentral:rRNA from 1 species